rnacentral:rRNA from 1 species
ACACGACUACAUUAGAUACCCCCGUAGUCCCAGCCCUAAACGAUGCGCGUUAGGUGUAUCGGUGACCACGAGUCACCGAGGUGCCGAAGGGAAACCGUGAAACGUGCCGCCUGGGAAGUACGGUCGCAAAGGCUGAAACUUAAAGGAAUUGGCGGGGAGCACCACAACGGGUGGAGUCCUGCGGUUUAAUUGGACUCAACGCCGGGAAGCUCACCGGAUAAGACAGCGGAAUGAUUGCCGGGCUGAAGACCCUGCAUGACCAGCUG